UGAGUACGAGACGCUAAGGCGUUGAAGCAGUCUAUGUCAGACUUCCAAGAAAAGCUCGCAAUGUCAUAAACGAAAAAUGCCUGUACCAUAACCGACACAGGUGGGUAGGUAGAGUAUACUAAGGGGCGCGAGAUAACUCUCUCUAAGGAACUCGGCAAAAUGACUCCGUAACUUCGGGAGAAGGAGUGCCUUAUUUCUAUAAGGUUGCAAUAACAAGAUCCAAGCAACUGUUUACCAAAAACACAGGUCUCCGCUAAGUCGUAAGACGAUGUAUGGGGGCUGACGCCUGCCCAGUGCCAGAAGGUUAAAGAAGUUGGUUAGUUUCGGCGAAGCUGAUGACUGAAGCCCUGGUGAACGGCGGCCGUAACAAUAACGGUCCUAAGGUAGCGAAAUUCCUUGUCGGGUAAGUUCCGACCCGCACGAAAGGCGUAAUGAUUUGGAUACUGUCUCGGAGAGGGGCUCGGUGAAAUAGACUUGUCCGUGAAGAUGCGGACUACCUGCACCUGGACAGAAAGACCCUAUGAAGCUUUACUGUAACUUGAGAUUGAAAUUGGACUUUAUUUGCGCAGUAUAGGUGGGAGACGUUGAGAAUAUUCUUGCGGGAAUAUUGGAGUCAUCAGUGAGAUACCACUCUUGUAAUGUUAGAUUUCUAACUUUGUAUCAUGAUCUGGUCAAAGGACAGUUUCAGGCGGGCAGUUUGACUGGGGCGGUCGCCUCCCAAACGGUAACGGAGGCGCACAAAGGUUUCCUCUGAACGUGUAGAAAUCGUAUCUAGAGUGUAAAGGCACAAGGAAGCUUGACUGUGAGACCUACAAGUCGAGCAGGGACGAAAGUCGGUCUUAGUGAUCUGACGGUGCUGAGUGGAAAGGCCGUCACUCAACGGAUAAAAGUUACUCUAGGAUAACAGGCUGAUCUCCCCCAAGAGUUCACAUCGACGGGGAGGUUUGGCACCUCGAUGUCGGCUCAUCGCAUCCUGGGGCGGUAGUACGUCCCAAGGGUUGGGCUGUUCGCCCAUGAAAGCGGUACGCGAGCUGGGUUCAGAACGUCGUGAGACAGUUCGGUCCAUAUCCGGUGUAGGCGUUAGAAUAUUGAGAGGAGCCUUCUUUAGUACGAGAGGACCGAGAAGGACAUACCUCUGGUGUACCAGUUAUCGUGCCAACGGUAAACGCUGGGUAGCUAUGUAUGGAGUGGAUAACCGCUGAAAGCAUCUAAGUGGGAAGCCCACCUCAAGAUAAGUAUUCUCAUA
rnacentral:rRNA from 1 species